rnacentral:siRNA from 1 species
CUGAGUAACGGGUCAUAAUUUGA